CAAGUGCGAGAGUAACUGCUCGCACCUUGACGGUACCUAACCAGAAAGCCACGGCUAACUACGUGCCAGCAGCCGCGGUAAUACGUAGGUGGCAAGCGUUGUCCGGAAUUAUUGGGCGUAAAGGGCUCGCAGGCGGUUUCUUAAGUCUGAUGUGAAAGCCCCCGGCUCAACCGGGGAGGGUCAUUGGAAACUGGGAAACUUGAGUGCAGAAGAGGAGAGUGGAAUUCCACGUGUAGCGGUGAAAUGCGUAGAGAUGUGGAGGAACACCAGUGGCGAAGGCGACUCUCUGGUC
rnacentral:rRNA from 1 species